UACGGGGGGGGGCAAGCGUUGUUCGGAAUUACUGGGCGUAAAGGGCGCGGAGGCGGCCGAUCAAGUCAGAUGUGAAAGUCCUGGGCUUAACCGGGGAACUGCGUCUGAUACUGGAUGGCUUGAGUUCGGGAGAGGGAUGCGGAAUUCCAGGUGUAGCGGUGAAAUGCGUAGAUAUCUGGAGGAACACCGGUGGCGAAGGCGGCAUCCUGGACCGACACUGACGCUGAGGAGCGAAAGCCAGGGGAGCAAACGGG
rnacentral:rRNA from 1 species